rnacentral:misc_RNA from 1 species
AUAAUCGAUCUAGCGAAGAAAGGUGUUUGUGUCCUGAAUGAUUGUUCAAUGCUCGUAAUGGAUGAGGCUGACAAGCUUCUAUCCCCAGAGUUUCAACCUUCAAUAGAGGAACUGAUCCGUUUUCUACCACCGAAUCGGCAGAUUUUACUGUUUUCGGCAACAUUCCCUGUGACGGUCAAAGAUUUUAAAGAUAGAUACCUGCCAAAACCUUAUACAAUUAAUCUCAUGGACGAGCUUACCCUAAAGGGAAUAACCCAAUUCUAUGCUUUUGUAGAAGAAAGACAGAAGGUCCACUGCUUGAAU